rnacentral:tRNA from 1 species
GCCUGAGUGGCUCAGUCGGUUGAGCAUCCGACUUCGGCUCAGGUCAUGAUCUCAUGGUUCGUGGGUUCGAGCCCCAUGUCAGGCU